ACUCCUACGGGAGGCUGCAGUGGGGAAUAUUGCACAAUGGGCGAAAGCCUGAUGCAGCGACGCCGCGUGAGGGAUGACGGCCUUCGGGUUGUAAACCUCUUUCAGCAGGGAAGAAGCUUAAUCGUGACGGUACCUGCAGAAGAAGCACCGGCUAACUACGUGCCAGCAGCCGCGGUAAUACGUAGGGUGCGAGCGUUGUCCGGAAUUAUUGGGCGUAAAGAGCUUGUAGGCGGUUUGUCGCGUCUGCUGUGAAAACUCGGGGCUUAACCCCGAGCCUGCAGUGGGUACGGGCAGACUAGAGUAUGGUAGGGGAGACUGGAAUUCCUGGUGUAGCGGUGGAAUGCGCAGAUAUCAGGAGGAACACCGAUGGCGAAGGCAGGUCUCUGGGCCAUAACUGACGCUGAGAAGCGAAAGCAUGGGGAGCGAACAGGAUUAGAUACCCUGGUAGUCCAUGCCGUAAACGUUGGGCGCUAGGUGUGGGGCUCAUUCCACGAGUUCCGUGCCGCAGCUAACGCAUUAAGCGCCCCGCCUGGGGAGUACGGCCGCAAGGCUAAAACUCAAAGGAAUUGACGGGGGCCCGCAC
rnacentral:rRNA from 1 species